UCAGCGGCGGACGGGUGAGUAACACGUGGGCAACCUGCCCGCAAGACCGGGAUAACUCCGGGAAACCGGAGCUAAUACCGGAUAACACCGAAGACCGCAUGGUCUUUGGUUGAAAGGCGGCCUUUGGCUGUCACUUGCGGAUGGGCCCGCGGCGCAUUAGCUAGUUGGUGAGGUAACGGCUCACCAAGGCGACGAUGCGUAGCCGGCCUGAGAGGGUGACCGGCCACACUGGGACUGAGACACGGCCCAGACUCCUACGGGAGGCAGCAGUAGGGAAUCUUCCGCAAUGGGCGAAAGCCUGACGGAGCGACGCCGCGUGAGCGAAGAAGGCCUUCGGGUCGUAAAGCUCUGUUGUGAGGGACGAAGGAGCGCCGUUCGAAGAGGGCGGCGCGGUGACGGUACCUCACGAGGAAGCCCCGGCUAACUACGUGCCAGCAGCCGCGGUAAUA
rnacentral:rRNA from 1 species